CCUGGCUCGUGAACUGAUCUGCCAAGAAAAAAUCAGCAAAGACGACCUGCAGAGGAAGAAAAGUAUCCGAAAUUAGAGCUAAGUCGAAAGAGGGGAGCACAUAUGCAGCGGUACAGAGUUUUUAAGCAGAAGAAGCGACUCGAGCGAUAUAGGAUGUUGAAUGGACACAAGAAGACUGCAACCACAACCUGCAAGCAGGGGUCCAUCUCCAUGUCAAGGUUAGAAAGAACACAGGCUAAAGCAAGAGUCGCCACGGCAAAACUGGGAAGCAAAACGUCACGGUAUGCCAACUCAGUGCCUUGUUUGAAACCAAAAAUGAAUGAAUAAUUCACUUGGUAUCUCCUCCAAAAGUAUAUGUUUGCUGCAUACAUUAGCAGGUGCAAGACAACGAAUCCAAACAGGCUGCAUUAAACAAGCAGAAGAAUGAUUUGAUUUGAUUUGAUUUGAUUUGAUUUGAUUUGCAAUGUUUCUGUUUCUCUGUUUUAAGUUACCUGUAAAGAGGAAACAUGGUAUCCAUAUACUGGGAGCGGCCUUCUCGGUCGAGUAUAUGUCGUGCUCGUGUAAUGAAAAUGAGGGCGACGAUAAGAGCUAUGGUGCAGCCAGCAAAGAAACCUGAAAAUUUUGUUCUAAAAUUGAUCAGCCAAUGUUCAAAACAUGAAUGAAGAGUCUUGCAAAUGUGUCAAGAA